UUUUCAAAAUGCAAAUAUAAUAAAACAAUGUAAAUAUUAUAAAAAAAUAUAAGAAUUAUUAAUAAUAUUGACAAUCACGCAGGGAGCGGAUAUUGAUUGAGUCAGUUGUAUGUAAAAAAGUUAAAUAAGAGAAUAAGAAAUCAACAUUGACCUUUGAUAAAAACAAAUCGAGAAAACAGUGUGCAGCUUAAGUUGUUAGAAAUGGGAUUACGAAUUGGUUGUAGAAACUUCUUGGUUUUUAUUGCGAUAUUCGCUGAAUUGCUUCAAGAUUACCUAAUUGAAUGUCGACGUGGGGGGUUCAGAGUCAGAACUGGAGGGGGAUCAAGCGCCUCUGGUAAUACAUGGUGGAUAUAUUUGGUUGCUAGCGUAGGAGCAGCUAUCCUUCUGACCGCCGUCGUGUAUAUUUGCGAAAAGUGCCGAUAGCUAUACAUGUGUCUUAUUGGACAUGCAAUUUUGUGCCAUAAACAUAUACUUACUUUCCUGUGCCCAAAACAAUCGCUCUGGUAUUGCGGACACUUGCUUCAGAUAUGCUGAUAAUUUUGAACUCAAGGGUUUAGGUUUUAACAAUUUCAAGCGGUUUUGAAUCGUAUUUGGUAGCAUUAUAAUUCUUCCAAGAUGUAAUUAUUCAUUUCUUUACUUUUUAUUAAUAAUUACUUGUAUAUGUACUUGCUUACAAAAGUUCCUCAAAGCGUACGUUAACUGUAUAAUGUUUUGCCGACACUGAAUAAAUCUGAUCUUAA